GGGGAAUAUUGGGCAAUGGGGGAAACCCUGACCCAGCAACGCCGCGUGAAGGACGAAGGCCUUCGGGUUGUAAACUUCUUUGAUCAGGGACGAAACAAAUGACGGUACCUGAGGAACAAGCCACGGCUAACUACGUGCCAGCAGCCGCGGUAAUACGUAGGUGGCAAGCGUUAUCCGGAUUUACUGGGUGUAAAGGGCGUGUAGGCGGUCUUGCAAGUCGGAAGUGAAAUUCCCGGGCUUAACCCGGGCGCUGCUCCCGAAACUGCGAGACUUGAGUACUGGAGAGGAUAGUGGAAUUCCUAGUGUAGCGGUAAAAUGCGUAGAUAUUAGGAGGAACACCAGUGGCGAAGGCGGCUAUCUGGACAGUAACUGACGCUGAGGCGCGAAAGCGUGGGGAGCAAAC
rnacentral:rRNA from 1 species